rnacentral:rRNA from 1 species
AGUGAGCGCUGGCGGCAGGCCUAACACAUGCAAGUCGAACGGCAGCACAAGAGAGCUUGCUCUCUGGGUGGCGAGUGGCGGACGGGUGAGGAAUGCAUCGGAAUCUGCCCAUUUGUGGGGGAUAACCUCGGGAAACCGGGACUAAUACCGCAUACGACCUACGGGUGAAAGCAGGGGAUCUUCGGACCUUGCGCAGAUGGAUGAGCCGAUGCCGGAUUAGCUAGUUGGAGGGGUAAAGGCCCACCAAGGCGACGAUCCGUAGCUGGUCUGAGAGGGUGAUCAGCCACACUGGGACUGAGACACGGCCCAGACUCCUACGGGAGGCAGCAGUGGGGAAUAUUGGACAAUGGGCGCAAGCCUGAUCCAGCCAUGCCGCGUGUGUGAAGAAGGCCUUCGGGUUGUAAAGCACUUUUGUUGGGAAAGAAAAGCAGCCGGUUAAUACCCGGUUGUCAUGACGGUACCCAAAGAAUAAGCACCGGCUAACUUCGUG